GUCCGUCCUGAGGGCCUCUGCCCUCCGCCACCGCCACGGAUCGCCUUCCACCCUGUGCCUUUCGGGUGUCCCCCAACCCCGGUACAGUAUUUCAUUUUCUGUGCGCUUCCAGGAAGGGGCAACCGGGGCCUCCUUCACACGGCUCAGCACACGAGACGCUCCUCAUGUCUGCACGCUUCUGAUGCUUCUUGGUUGCUGAGCGUGUUUCUGGGUAUGACAUUCAAGUGAUUUUAUUCUUAAAUAAAUGCUCAGCCUCAGGCCUGGUUAGGCAGACAGCAGAAGAAGGCAGACCGCAGGCCCCUUGUCCGUGGGAGCAGUGGGAUGGCCCAGGGAGGCAGAGACUCCGAGAAGGUGACGCAGAAGGAGCACCAUGCCAUCAAGCCACCAGCGUCGCCGUGCCCGAGACCAGCAGGUCCGCCCCGUGUGCGCGCACGUCUGCCCCGCGAUGCGUUUACCGGGAGAACUCCGGGAGCGGCAUGAGGUGACACGCUCACGAGUUCGCCCGUCCACUGCUCAGUGAGAUUCAUGCUUAGCGUAUUCAUAAACAUCCUGAGAGAGAGAGUUCUUCGGGCAGAACUGAAUAGUUAUGGUCAGUCAUGGAGAACCAGCGGGAGCCUCGUCCCCAGGGAGCAGGUGAUUCGGAGAAUACAAACUUGAAAAUAGAAGAGGAAGAUGACUCGCAAACCCCUAAUCACAGUGUGGAGAGAAUGGACUUGGGAAGUGAGCCGGAGGCCGCGGCCUGGGCUCCAGGAAGAAGUCCCCGGCCUGGAAGCACUUCUUCAUCUCGCCGCGGGACAGCACCAAGGCCGUGUGCACCUACUGCAUGAAGGAGUUCAGCCGCGGCAAGAACGAGAAGGACCUGAGCACCAGCUGCCUGAUGCGGCACGUGCGGAGGGCGCACCCCAC
rnacentral:lncRNA from 1 species